GAUGGCCAUACCAUGUUGAAAGCUCCGGUUCUCAUCUGAUCACCGCAGUUAAGCAGCAUGGAAGGUGACCACCUGGGAACACCGCGUGCUGUUG